rnacentral:lncRNA from 1 species
CUUAGCUCCAAGCUCCGUGCCCAUACACACCAUAUUCACCACUUUUCCUUUAUGAAAGUGAAUCGAGUAUUGAGCAUUCGAGUACCUUCUCAAGACGGCAGACAAUUGCUGAGCUCGGAUACCUCGCAAGCAAACAAGCUUUAUCAGAAGACACAGCCUGGACCAAUCCAAUGUUCAGUUUUUUAUUGAGGAUGCACACUUGUUUACCUUGUACAAACUGUAAAUAUAUUGGUGAAAUGUGU